GAAAUCUUUCAGAAUAGAAUAUACGCACAGUUUUAUAAAUGAGGCCCCUGGACCAUCUGCUGGACCGACUCAACUCCUGAUUCUCUGAUGAUCUGGACUCUGAUACUCAGCUGGUCUGAACUUGAUCCAGGACUGUGGUGUUACUCUGACAGUCCUGGACCAGGUUUAGUCUGGACUCUGGUGUAUCGCAGUUGCAUCUGAACUCUGCUUCAUCUACAUGUGAUAUGAUUCUUUACUGUGUGAAAUCAAUAUUUUUCAUCCACUUAUAUCCACACG